GAUGAACGCUGGCGGCGUGCCUAAUACAUGCAAGUCGAGCGAACAGACGAGGAGGUUGCUCCUCUGACGUUAGCGGCGGACGGGUGAGUAACACGUGGAUAACCUACCGAUAAGACUGGGGUAACUUCGUGAAACCGUAGCUAAUACCGGAUAAUAUAUUGAACCGCAUGGUUCAAUAGUGAAAGACGGUUUUGCUGUCACUUAUAGAUGGAUUCGCGCCGCAUUAGCUAGUUGGUAAGGUAAAGGCUUACCAAGGCAACGAUGCGUAGCCGACCUGAGAGGGUGAUCGGCCACACUGGAACUGAGACACGGUCCAGACUCCUACGGGAGGCAGCAGUAGGGAAUCUUCCGCAAAGGGCGAAAGCUUGACGGAGCAACGCCGCGUGAGUGAUGAAGGUCUUCGGAUCGUAAACCUCUGUUAUUCGGGAAGAAAAAAUGUGUAAGUAACUAUGCACGUCUUGACGGUACCUAAUCAGAAAGCAACGGCUAACUACGUG
rnacentral:rRNA from 1 species